rnacentral:rRNA from 1 species
GAAGUGGGAAGAGUCCAGCACCGAAUCCCGCAGCCUUGCGCUGCAGGGAGCUGUGGUGUUGAGGACGUCAAUUGCUGCAGUGUCCGGGUGCCCAAGUUCUCCUGAUCGGGGCCAUUCCCAGAGCGGGUGUCAGGCCUUUACCGGCACUCGGCGCUGUGACUCUGAACGUCCCUGGAGUCGGGUUGUUUGAGAAUGCAGCCCAAAGAGGGUGGUAAACUCCAUCUAAG